rnacentral:rRNA from 1 species
AUCAACGCUGGCGGCGCGCUUAACACAUGCAAGUCGAACGAGAAAGGGGAGCAAUCCCUGAGUACAGUGGCGCACGGGUGAGUAACACGUGGAUGAUCUAUCUCUUAGUGGGGAAUAACCCUGGGAAACCAGAGAUAAUACCACAUAAGCUCGAGAGAGGAAAGCAGCAAUGCGCUGAGAGAGGAGUCCGCGGCCGAUUAGCUAGUUAAGAGGGUAAGAGCCUACCAAGGCAGAGAUCGGUAGCCGGCCUGAGAGGGCACACGGCCACACUGGCACUGAACACGGACCAGACUCCUACAAAAAGCAGCAGUAGGGAAUCUUGCACAAUGGGGGAAACCCUGAUGCAGCGACGCCGCGUGAGCGAUGAAGCCCUUCGAGAUGUAAAGCUCUUUCGGCAGGGAAGAUGAUGACGGUACCUGCAGAAGCAGCUGCGGCUAACUACGUGCCAGCAACCGCGGUAAUACGUAGGCAGCGAGCGUUGUUCGGAGUUACUGGACGUAAAGGGUGUGUAGGCGAUUGUUUAAGUUUGGUGUGAAAUCUCCCGGCUCAACUGGGAGGGUGCGCCGAAUACUGAAUGACUUGGAGUGCGGAAGAGGAGAGUGGAAUUCCUGGUGUAGCGGUGAAAUGCGUAGAUAUCAGGAAGAACACCGGUGGUGUAGACGGCUCUCUAGACCGCAACUAACGCUGAGACACGAAAGCGUGGGUAGCAAACAGGAUUAGAUACCCUGGUAAUCCACGCCCUAAACGAUACAUAUUUAGUGUAAGCAGUUCAUUCUAUCCGUGCCGGAGCUAACGCGUUAAAUAUACCGCCUGAAGAGUACAGUCGCAAGGCUGAAACUCAAAGGAAUUGACGAAGGCCCGCACAAACGGUGGAGCAUGUGGUUCAAUUCGACGCAACGCGAAGAACCUUACCUAAGCUCGAACGGCUAGUCAACAGAGGUGGAAACACUUCUACCCCGCAAGAAAUCCAGCCGAGGUGCUGCAUGGCUGUCGUCAGCUCGUGUCGUGAGAUGUCGGGUUAAGUCCCGCAACGAGCGCAACCCUUGUCCUGUGUUGCCAUCAUUCAGUAGGGAACUCGCAGGAGACCGCCAGGGAUAACCUAGAGGAAGGUGAGGAUGACGUCAAGUCCUCAUAACCUUUAUGUCCAGAACUACACACGUGCUACAAUGGACGGUACAAAGCGCAGCAAACCCGCGAGGAAAAGCCAAUCGCAAAAAACCGUUCUCAGUUCGGAUUACAGGCUGCAACUCGCCUGCAUGAAGCUAGAAUCGCUAGUAAUGGCAGAUCAGCACGCUGCCGUGAAUACGUUCCCAGGCCUUGUACACACCGCCCGUCACAUCACGAAAGUGGAUUGUACUAGAAGUCUGCGCGCUGACCCGCAAGAGAGGCAGCGGCCCAAGGUAUGAUUCAUGAUUAGGGUG